rnacentral:piRNA from 1 species
UUGGCGAUCAAAAUAAAAUGA